AACUGUCUGUCUGCCAUGGCCUCUUCCAAACGUGAUUCUCUGUGGCCUCCGCAAAAUGCUUCUGUGCCUGAUUCAGUACCAUCACAGGAGUACCGAGCAAAACUUUAUGACAGCACGACUCGUCUGCUUGGAAUGGUGACAACCAUUACAUUUGAGAAGAGUAUGACACAACAAACUUGUUUGCCGAGCUAUCCCUAUUUUGAGGGCAAUGACCAAGGAGGGCCAAUCCAUCCAUCUCCCUCAAUACAAGAUUGCUCUCAAGCAUCCCUUGCAGACCAGCAUUAUCAAUGCAUUUCAGAGUUGGUUCGUCUGCAAAAGGAAAGACAUAAGGCAGAAAUUUUUCUUGCAAAUAUGUACCGAGGAAGACCAAUUCCCACUCCUCAAUCAGAGCUUCCUUUCAGCUUGAACACAUAUAAACUGAUUUCAGCUUUGAAUGAUGAGAAUCAUAAGGUUGGAGAAUUUAUAUGCUACAUCAGGGAACUUCCUGGCAUUGAACUUCCCAAAGACUUCUUUCAUGCAUUUAUGAGCUAUGAAAGAGCUGUUCUUUGUUGCAAAAUACAGUUGCAAAUGGUAGAUUGGCUUUCCAAUUGCCAGAACCUUCACUUUUCAGACCUUGUUGAAGCAAGAAAGGCACUGUGCAGUAUGUGCCGUUGCACAAAGAACCUUCGCGAGAUGCUCUCCGAUGCGAUGCAAAAGAUCAUUUAUUUUCUGAGUUAUGCAGAUUGAAAUGAAUUUAAUGCAAUCUGAUCUCUUUCAUUCUGAGAGGAUGUCUGAUGUUAUCAUGUCAUGACAUAUUCAUUUCAUUCACUUGGAAAAUGUUUUGAUGCUUGCUUUACCUCUAGUUUUACCACUCUUGCAUGCCAAUUGUGGUGUAAUAUCUUACUCACUUUCUUACUCAUAUAUAGAUCUCACUGCUGGCUCAUUUUAAAGAUAAAAUCAAGGAACUCACCACUCAAAAAGAUCCAAUUUGGAACAAACGAAUAAACAUGGAUUUGAUUUUCCCUCCCCUUCUCCCCCACACUCCAACAUCCAUGAAAAGUGCAUGGAAAAUUCAUGCAAAUGUGUAUAAUGAGGCAGCCCUUUUAAAAUUAUGACAACAAAGCAUGCUUUUGAGUAAAUAAUUUUAUUAGGAUAAUUUUUAAGCACAUUCCAUUUUCCGCUACAUGACUGUUCUUAUAUUUGUGGGAGUUUUUUUCUGUUCAUUUAAUGCCGUAGUAUCAUGUAUUGUCUGUCACCACUUUCAUAAUUGAUGUGGUUUCAUUUGUUGCUCAAAGUUUUGACAUUUAAAAAUGUUUUAUCAAACGUGACUUGUGUGACUUUUUGAGACUCGUGUGAUGCUCAUUUGGUGUGAGGAGGUGUGUAAAAGGUAAGCACUCUUAUGUGGUGAGAUGCUUAGAGUCAUUCAUGUGCACACCAAAAUUAAUUUGCCAGGCACCUACCCAACACUUCGGAGUGCUCGCAUGCAUAGCGUCC
rnacentral:lncRNA from 1 species